rnacentral:rRNA from 1 species
UCUUGCGCAAUGGGCGAAAGCCUGACGCAGCGACGCCGCGUGCGGGAUGAAGGCCUUCGGGUCGUAAACCGCUGUCGGGAGGGACGAAGCUCUGACGGUACCUCCAAAGGAAGCCCCGGCCAACUACGUGCCAGCAGCCGCGGUAACACGUAGGGGGCGCGCGUUGUCCGGCUUUAUUGGGCGUAAAGAGCUCGUAGGCGGCUCGGUAAGUCGGGUGUGAAACCUCCAGGCUCAACCUGGAGACGCCACCUGAUACUGCUGUGGCUAGAGUCCGGUAGGGGAGCGUGGAACUCCUGGUGUAGCGGUGAAAUGCGCAGAUAUCAGGAAGAACACCAGCGGCGAAGGCGGCGCUCUGGGCCGGAACUGACGCUGAGGAGCGAAAGCGUGGGUAGC